rnacentral:sRNA from 1 species
GGAUGCGAAAAAGAGCAGAGUUUUUGAACUGGGCAAAACUGAAAUCGAGGCGGAAAAAGACCCACAUCAUGCGGCUGCUGUUCCCCUACGCUCUCUCCCCCUUUCCCGCUUUUCCCGC